rnacentral:lncRNA from 1 species
CAACAUGGAAUUUGUUUGGGCUGCUUCCGAUGGUGUUCUGAGCUGCACUAGGACUGAAGAUGAGUAGCAGCAGGAAGAGGAUGGAUUGAGGUGUUCUGUCCAUUACCUUUUGCCACAAGGUAUGCAAGUUUCAGUGAAGUAUGCAACCUUGUGCUGGUAUGCAGUCAUUAAUACAUACGAUGGUUUGUCUAGGACCCUGAUUCUGAAGUCUGGUGAUCUGGUCAAGCUGGAACUUGCAAGGCAGUUCAGUUAGUUGAUUCUGUGAUGCAAUUACUGCCUACUUAACAGUGACUGGAAAUACUAGCAUAUGGACACCAUCUUGUCUCGGUCUUGACCUCCCAGAUGUUGAUUGGUCAUGUAAAAAAAAAAAACAUGACUGCUUGGCGCUGUGCUAUUGUUUGCUUGCUUGCCCAAGAACUGGGAACUUAUGCUAAGAAUCCUACGUGCAAGUCGAGCCGAAACGAAUUGGUCAGCGAAAUUUUGUCUUGUCGAGAAAAAGGAUUCUAUGUUUAAAUUUAGAGCACUUCCAAUGCAGAAACCAUCGUGGUUUCUAUAGACAUUAAUUGUAGUGCCACCUAAGCAUUUUGCUGAUGUGGCAAGAGAGUUAUUGAAGAGAGAGAACAAAAAUCAUAGAAACUGGGUCUAAACAAAAUCCAAGACAUGAAGUGAUAUGAUUGGGUAAGAAUGGAGAGAGAAUGAAUG